UGGAGAGUUUGAUCCUGGCUCAGAGUGAACGCUGGCGGUAGGCCUAACACAUGCAAGUCGUCAGCCACACUGGAACUGAGACACGGUCCAGACUCCUACGGGAGGCAGCAGUGGGGAAUAUUGGACAAUGGGCGCAAGCCUGAUCCAGCCAUACCGCGUGGGUGAAGAAGGCCUUCGGGUUGUAAAGCCCUUUUGUUGGGAAAGAAAAGCAGCCGGUUAAUACCGCCGCCUGGGGAGUACGGUCGCAAGACUGAAACUCAAAGGAAUUGACGGGGGCCCGCACAAGCGGUGGAGUAUGUGGUUUAAUUCGAUGCAACGCGAAGAACCUUACCUGGCCUUGACAUGUCGAGAACUUUCCAGAGAUGGAUUGGUGCCUUCGGGAACUCGAACACAGGUGCUGCAUGGCUGUCGUCAGCUCGUGUCGUGAGAUGUUGGGUUAAGUCCCGCAACGAGCGCAACCCUUGUCCUUAGUUGCCAGCACGUAAUGGUGGGAACUCUAAGGAGACCGCCGGUGACAAACCGGAGGAAGGUGGGGAUGAC
rnacentral:rRNA from 1 species